rnacentral:rRNA from 1 species
AUCGUAACUCCUACGGGAGGCAGCAGUGGGGAAUCUUCCACAAUGGACGAAAGUCUGAUGGAGCAACGCCGCGUGAGUGAUGAAGGUUUUCGGAUCGUUAAACUCUGUUGUAAGGGAAGAACACGUACGAGAGGGAAUGCUCGUACCCUGACGGUACCUUACGAGAAAGCCACGGCUAACUACGUGCCAGCAGCCGCGGUAAUACGUAGGUGGCAAGCGUUGUCCGGAAUUAUUGGGCGUAAAGCGCGCGCAGGCGGCCUUUUAAGUCUGAUGUGAAAGCCCCCGGCUCAACCGGGGAGGGCCAUUGGAAACUGGAAGGCUUGAGUACAGAAGAGAAGAGUGGAAUUCCACGUGUAGCGGUGAAAUGCGUAGAGAUGUGGAGGAACACCAGUGGCGAAGGCGACUCUUUGGUCUGUAACUGACGCUGAGGCGCGAAAGCGUGGGGAGCAAACAGGAUUAGAAACCCGUGUAGUCCUAGAGC